rnacentral:rRNA from 1 species
UGAACGCUGGCGGCAUGCUUUACACAUGCAAGUCGAACGGUAACAGGCCGCAAGGUGCUGACGAGUGGCGAACGGGUGAGUAAUGCAUCGGAACGUGCCCAGUCGUGGGGGAUAACUACUCGAAAGAGUAGCUAAUACCGCAUACGAUCUAUGGAUGAAAGCGGGGGACCGUAAGGCCUCGCGCGAUUGGAGCGGCCGAUGUCAGAUUAGGUAGUUGGUGGGGUAAAGGCUCACCAAGCCAACGAUCUGUAGCUGGUCUGAGAGGACAACCAGCCACACUGGGACUGAGACACGGCCCAGACUCCUACGGGAGGCAGCAGUGGGGAAUUUUGGACAAUGGGCGCAAGCCUGAUCCAGCAAUGCCGCGUGCAGGAAGAAGGCCUUCGGGUUGUAAACUGCUUUUGUACGGAACGAAACGGCUCUGGUUAAUACCCGGGGCUAAUGACGGUACCGUAAGAAUAAGCACCGGCUAACUACGUG